rnacentral:rRNA from 1 species
CGCGUGAGUGAAGAAGGCCUUCGGGUUGUAAAGCUCUUUUGUCAGGGAAGAAACAGCAGCUCUAACACAGUCUGCGAAUGACGGUAC